AGUAAAAUGGCUGAGAUAUAGGUAAUAAAUUGUAAAUUUAUUUAGGGAUAAGUUAGUCCUUUUACUA
rnacentral:tRNA from 1 species